rnacentral:rRNA from 1 species
UACGUAGGGGGGCAAGCGUUGUCCGGAAUUAUUGGGCGUAAAGAGCGUGUAGGCGGCCAGAUAAGUCCGCUGUGAAAUCUCGGAGCUUAACUCCGAAACUGCAUUCGAUACUGCCGUGCUUGAGGACUGGAGAGGAGACUGGAAUUUACGGUGUAGCGGUGAAAUGCGUAGAUAUCGUAAGGAAGACCAGUGGCGAAGGCGGGGUCUCUGGACAGUUCCUGACGCUGAGGCACGAAGGUCCAGGGGAGCAAACGGG